CCGCAAUUCGCCCUUCGGGGCGCCCGCGGAUUGAUUUCUUUUCCCUGCUUGCAACGGUAAUUCCGGGGAGUCUAGUGUCAGGUUUCCACUCUGGCUGUCGAGAUGCCUAAAAAGCAUUUCAAUACCUGGGCCGGGUCAUACCGGUGCCAGACGCCGCGGUAACACCGGCGGCUCGAGGGGUAACCGUUAUUAUUGGGUCUAAAGGGUCUGUACCCGGCCGAAUAAUUCUCUUGGGAAAUCCACCAGCUCAUCUGUUGGGUUUUCACGAGAUACUGUCUGGCUCGAGGCCGGGAGAGGUGAGAGGUACUUCAGGGGUAGGGGAGAAAUCUUGUAAUCCUUGAAGGACCACCAGUGACAAAGGCGUCUCACCAUAACGGACCUGACGGCAAGGGACUAAAGCUAGGGGCACGAACCGGAUUAGAUACCCGGGUAGUCCUAACCGUAAACGAUACUCGCUAGGUGUCGGCCACGGUGCGACCGUUGUCGGUGCCGUAAGGAAGCCGUGAAGCUAGCCACCUGGUAAGUACGGCCGCAAGGCUGAAACUUAAAGGAAUUGGCGGGGGAGCAC
rnacentral:rRNA from 1 species